GAAAAGAUAAUAAGUUGGGUUUUGUUUGCGUUACCCAACCGUCAGGAACCCCCAUUCUUCAACAUAUUUGUCUCACUCUCACGCAGAAGCCUCAUCGGUAUCUCUCAACCAACCUGCUCGCAUUCCAUCCGUCGCAGGUCGCGUAUGUGGUCCAGCGUCGCCGCCUGUCAUCGACUAGCAGACCGUCCGUCCAGCCGUGUUCCACUUACUCGCGAGGCUGUUCGAUUCGUGUUUCGUCCAACCGCUGAUCUGGGUUGUUAAGCCACCGUCUACGCGCGCCUUUGCUGCUGAACCACCGCUAAGGCCGCCGCUUACGUUUCUGUCCAGCCGGAAUCUUAAGUUUAAGAUCAAGAUUGGUUAUUUUUGUAGAUUUGGUGAAUUUCAUGGAUGUUCUGGAUUGGGUUUGAAUGCCUAUGAGUGCCCAUUGAGUUUUGGGUUUAAAUCUUGAUUGAAUCUCGAGUGCCCAACAAGUUUUUGGCCUAAGUUCUUUCGCUCUUGACGUUUGAAGGUUGAUUUGGAAUUUUUGGCAGGAGUUGAGGUGUUGUCCACUUGACUUGAGACCCGUCCCGACAUGAUUUUGGUAAACGCAAGGAUAGAUCGACGAAUGACAAGAAGAAUCCGUGAUCGUGCCAUCGGGAUCCGACAAAUGUUUCUGCUCAUGCUUUCAUGUUUCCAUAUUUUAAAUUCCAGUCUUGAUGUUUAAAUCCAAUGCUAUAGUUUUUACAUUGAUAGACACUUUUUAAUUUUCCAGUUUUGUUUUAUAGCUAUUAGGGGUACCCGAUCAAAAAUUUCAGCUAUUCAGAUUUUAUAAAAUUCAUUUGGUUCUAGUCAAAUUUAUGAAAAUGGUCGUUUUAAAAUGUAUAUAUGUAUGUGACAACAACCUAAUAUAAGCCUUAGGAAGUUGGACCGUUGUAGAAGUUAGUUAAUUAUUAGUUAUGUUAGUUAACCAUCUUGUAAUUAACUCACUCUAGAAAUAAGUCUCCUCUCCUAUUAUGAGAAGAGAUUCAUUUUUUAAAA